rnacentral:rRNA from 1 species
GAAAAGAAACAGAUGCCAGGCCAACUGAACUCGUU